UGGUGGUCUAGUGGUUAGGACUCCGCACUUCCACUGCCAAGGGCCCAGGUUUGAUCCCUGGUCA
rnacentral:tRNA from 1 species